UCGGGAAUUUUGGGCAAUGGGCGAAAGCCUGACCCAGCAACGCCGCGUGAAGGAUGAAGCUUUUCGGAGUGUAAACUUCAUAAGAAUGGGACGAAUAAGGAGGGGUUAACACCCCCUUUGAUGACGGUACCAUUUGUAAGCUCCGGCUAACUCCGUGCCAGCAGCCGCGGUAAUACGGGGGGAGCAAGCGUUGUUCGGAUUUACUGGGCGUAAAGGGCGCGUAGGCGGCGCAACAAGUCACUUGUGAAAUCUCCGGGCUUAACCCGGAGCGGCCAAGUGAUACUGUCGUGCUAGAGUGCGGAAGGGGCUACUGGAAUUCUCGGUGUAGCGGUGAAAUGCGUAGAUAUCGAGAGGAACACCUGCGGCGAAGGCGGGUAGCUGGGCCGACACUGACGCUGAGGCGCGAAAGCCAGGGGAGCGAACGGG
rnacentral:rRNA from 1 species